ensembl:lncRNA
UCUCUCCCGGCUUAAGGCCUCUAGGCUCGCCCCCAACUUCCACCCCACGCCGGCGCUGUAAGUGGUCAUCGCCCGGCAGCCCGAGACCAAGACGCGUGCAUCCCCACAGCCUCUGAUUCCCUGACAACCCCUAGGCCGGAGCCAGCGCGACCAAUAACGUGCCAGGUCCUCGGCCUCCCCGCCACCGACCAAUCACGAGCGAGCCCCCCCCCGCCGUCGCCUUCCGCCAAUGGGAGAAAGCCCGCGAGCCGGGCCGACAAGGCGCACGGACCCCGCGAGCGCGACGGCGGCGACAGCGACGGGCCAGGGAGAACACAACAUGGCGGUGGGCAGGCCGGACCGAACUACAGCAGCAGCCACGCGAGGGAAGUGAGGUCUCCGCCGAGGGCGGGAAGCGCCGCCCCUCCCCCCGCGACUGCCGCUCACCUCUCCCCCUCCCUCCCGCGGACGCUCCCGCACACUCACACGCCUCGGCUCAGAAGUCCAGGGAAGAGCAGGAGCCGCCCCCGCGCUCCGGCGGAGUCGGGCAAUGCAGAGGCCUGGGCACGACGGAGGGGAGGGGGAAGCGUGCGUCACGGAGAACGGAGCGCGCGCUAAGCCGGGGUACAAACAAGAUGGCGGCCACGCCGUUUGCACUGUCUCCCCCCGCUUCCCCUCCCCCUCCCUUGGCGCCUUGGCUCCGAGUGUCUUUAAUGCGCAGAAGCUUAGUCGCUUGAAGUCUCGCGAGAAUUGAGAAGGGGCGACGACUUGGUGAGCCUUGAGCCAUCUGACCCCGCCCCCUUUAGAGUCCAGAGGUGUCUAGCGGGGUCCUAGAUAGCGUAUUCAGCCUUUGUGGACCUUUGCUAUGGUCCGCGUGCUUUUGAGUUUUAGGAGAAUAGAUAGUUUUACGUGGGUUUGUUUGUUUUUUAAGGAAGUAACAGCUGGAGGAUGGAGGGCGGCAUGAGGAAUGCCAGAUUAAGUGCGCUGUUAAAGAAGACAGCUGCCAGUACCGUAAAAGGGGAUUUAAAACUGUAAAGAUACACUUCAGAAUAAAGAACAGCACUUUCCUAGAAUGGUCACCUUGUAACUUUACGUCUAUAUGCACAUUGUUUUUGUCACUUGACUGCAGAAUUAAAACUUCUUUAAAAGCAGUUGGAAACUGAACUGCAACCAGCACUCGUUUUCAUGCUUUACCGCUUUAAUCUCCACAACUACUUAGUCCGAAGGCAUUAGCAUUAUUUCUGUUUUACUGGUGAUGAAGUUGAAGCGCCAAAAUGUUAAGCAACUUAAGGCUCCGCAGCUAGUUAAUGGCGAGACUCGGUUUGAAUAGUCAAAUCUGUAUAUAAAUACAUCUAAUAUAUAUUGAGUAGAAUCAUCCACAAUGAAACUGUGCACUAGGUUGCAAGCACAAAUAAGACUGCUUUUGCUGGUGUUUACCUUGAAGUUUACAGAUGACUUUUCUGAGACUUGUUUUGCAGGGGUUCUCAACAAUAAAAUCAAUACACUAUUAUUAUUUCCUUCCUUUGAGUUUAUGACCCUAGUGAUAAAGUUGUUGAGAAUAAUGGAAUAAAUCCUUGACUUGAAUUCAGGAAAAUUGUUUUCAAAUCCAGCCUUAAUAAAUCUCACUUCAUGCAUUCAAUAAAUAUUUGAUGAAUAAAUAAAACCUGACUAGUUACAAGACACUUAAGUUCACUAAGUCUUGUUGAUUUCUUCAUCUGUAAAGUGAUCUAAUUCCUACCUCAGAGUGUCAGGGAUAUUGAAUGAAACAGUUUAAGGGAGAGUGCUUUGCAAAAGAAUUUCAAAGUAGUGAUAAUGAUGUUUUCAGACAUGAGAAAUGGCAUAAAAAUUAAAAACAGACUCAAGAAAUAGUAUGUUGAGAUAAAUAAGCUUAGCUAAUGGGGAAAUGGAGAAGGCUAUGGCACUCCACUCCAGUAUUCUUGCCUGGAAAAUCCCAUGGGCGGAGGAGCCUGGUGGGCUGCAGUCCAUGGGGUCGCACAGAGUCGGACAUGACUGAAGUGAUUUAGCAGCAGCAGCAAUGGGGAAAAGCUAGGGGACUCGAUUCCAUCCCUGAUCUGGGAAGAUCCCACAUGCCGUGGAGCAACUAAGCCACAACUAAUGAGCCCGUGCUUCACAAGAAGAGAAGCCACCACAAUGAGACGCUGAUAAACCGCAGCUAGAGAGUAGCCCCUGCUUGCCACAGAUGAAGAAAGCCCUUGUGCAGCCAAGAAGACCCAGCACAGCCAAUAAACAAAUAAACUAAACCCUCCCUAUCUGGCUUGUUCCUAGAAGGUUGUACUUCUCACCCUAAUGUCGUCAAGCUUGACUUUGUUUUCGUCAGGGAAAUGUUUGGUCCCAGAAUGAAGCUGUGCAGAGCCCCAGUUGACACACAGGACAUGUAAUCAGCCCAACGUGAAGGCCUCAGGGCAAGGACACCUUCAGAACCAGCAGCCAUCAGCCCAAAGAGCGCCCCUGGACUCAGGCCCUGCCAUUCUGCCCCUGAAUGCUGUUCCUGCCCACACCGCUUAAAGAUGUGGACCUGAACCCCCGAGAGACCUCAGGAGGACUGGGCCCUCUUGUCGAACAGCCUUUCAGGCAAACUUUCAUCUCUAGUUAUGGCUGAAUAUAGUACUCCAUUAAGUGUAUAUAACGUAUUUUGCUUAUAAAUUCAUCCGGCAACGGAAUUUGGGUUGUUUCUGUCUUUUGACUAUGGCAAAUAAUGCUGCUAUGAACAUUGGUGUUCAAAUAUCUGUUUGAGUUCCUGCUUUCGACUCUUGGGGGUACAUACCCAGAAGUGAAAUUGCUGGAUCAGAUGGUAAUUCUAUGUUUAAUUUUUUGAGGGACCACCAUACUGUUUUCCACAGCGGCUGUACCAUUUUACAUUCCCAGUGAUAGAAGUUUUUACAGAUGGGAAUGACAUGGUCAAAACUGUGUUUAACCACUACACGGGGCUUCCUUAGUGGUGCCUGUGGACAGGAAUCUGCCUCCCAAUUCUGGGGACACAGGUUUGAUCCCUGCUGCAGGAAGAUUCCACAUGCUGCGGAGCAACUAAGCCCGUGAGCUGCCACUCCCGAAGCCCUGGCACCUAGAGCCUGUGCUCCGCAAUAAGAGAAGCCGUCGCAAUGAGAAGCCCAGCGCUGCAACCAAGAGUCGCCCUGGCUCACCGCAACUGGAGAAAGCCUGCGCUCAGCAACGAAGACCCAGCACUACCAAGACACACACACAAAAUGGCUAUCUGGCAGAGGUAACGGGAUGGAGUGGGGUUUCAGAAUGACCAGUUGGAGACUUCCACACAGGACGAGAUCUAACAGGAGCCUGAGCACAUCAGUAGCAGUGAGAAUGGAGGGUGGAAGAUAGAAAUGCAGAGGUGAUGCUGCCCACAGAGGACUGAAGCACUUGAUUGUUGACCUGCUGCUGCAGAGGUGAGGAGCAAGAGACAUGAAGGUGUAUGGUAUGACCCCCGGCUUCACCCCUGGGAGUAGGGUGGUCUCCAGAUGAAGAUUUCCGGACUUCUCCAGAGCGUGGCAAGUGGGACAUUGUGAGCUCUGGGAUGGACACUUGUUGUCUUGCCUGCUCAGUACCCUUGCCCUUUCCAAUGGUAAUGACACUGUAUUUGCAGCCCAGCUGCUGAGCCCUGAAAUCCAUGCUGCGCUCUGAGAUCCAUUGCCCUUCACCCCCAGGCCUCACUUCCCACAAGCUGGCCACUGACUGAGCACAGCUGGGAUUUUUGGACAGGCACCUGCCUAGGAUAAGUGACGGUCUUCUGAUGGACAACUUUGGCUCAAGGACUCCUCAGUGACCUCACAAACGUUCCUUGAAGCUGCACUGCAGUCUAAGGUGCUUCCACCUAGGACUCCUGCCUUCUCUCUUCUUCACUUAGGGUCAGACCUGUUGAGUGGUCCUCUCCCAGUCUCUCUCAGGUCUGGCCCCCCAUUGUCUCUCACAGGUGUUUUCCAUAUUGAAUUUCUUGCAUUUAACCCUGUCUUGAGGUCUGUUUUCUGAGGAGCUGAACUGACGGAGGGGAGGGAGGAUGAGCUCACAGCAUCUCCUCUGUAUCCCAUCAGCCGUAGGGGUAAGUGUGUGACCCACCCUGACCAAUCAUCCUGAGCCCCACACCUUGGCCCAGGGCCUCCUCAGAGUCUCUCUGCAUCAUUUGGCUCCCAGAUCAUUAGAUGCUUGGUCCACCUCAAUCACAGACAUGGCUGACCAGCUCUGAGUGAGGCCUCACAGUUCCACUGGCUGAAGCCAGCGAGUUGCAAGCAUGGAUAGUCUGGCUUCUCUCGCACUUUCCAGACCCUGAGGACCCACCACCUCACAGAGCAAGAGAUCUGGGCUCCUAAGCAGCUGCUGAAGGGGUCGGUGAUAUACAGGAGAUAGAACCUGCACCAGAGACUUAACUGCCCAUGGGGCCAACUAUAGGCUUUCCUGGUGGCUCAGCUGGUAAAGAAUCCACCUGCAAUAUGAGAGAGCUGGGUUUGAUCCCUGGGUUGGGAAGAUCCCCUGGAGAAGGGAACAACUACCCACUCCAGUAUUCUGGCCUGGAGAAUUCCAUGGAUUGUAUAGUCCAUAGGGUUGCAAAGAGUCGGACACGACUAAGCAACUUUCACUUCAGGGCCAACUGUGAUGAAUGAAGGAACAAUUUACUCUCCCUCCCUUCCUCUGAUGGACUGUUUGAAGGUAUAGUUUCUCUGUACAAACAGUCUGAAGGCUUUCUGCACGUCUAAGUAGGUAGACCUGUCCAGAGACCAGAUGUGUCUCUUUACAGUUCAUUGUAAAGAAGUAGCAAGAAACAUUUCCUUGCAUUGCUUGCCAUCUUUUCCUGCUUCCCUGUCCCCUCAUCCUCACUGCCCUAGCAUUGUGCAUCCCAUAUAAAGCUUUAGCACUUGAUCCCUUCUUCAGGUUUUAUUUUCUAGGAGCCCUUGUUAAGACAGAUCACAGUUUCUGAACAGCUGAGCACUGGACUCAAACCAAGCUAAGCAAAGCCUUCCUAAAGAUGCAGAAUAUAGACAGACAAGACUUUUCUUCUGUAGGUCUUGAGUCAUAAAGAUCUGUGGGUGGCUACCACUUCUGCUUUACAGGAAGAGCCUGCCUGAGCACAAAGGCAUCACAGAGGAAGGCAGAUCUCAGAGAAAGAGAAGGACACAGAGGCCUGACAUCCUUUGAGCUCCAAGAUCCAACCCUCCCCAAUAUGUAUAAUAGUUUUGUUAUUUAUCUCCCUAAAGACUGGUUUUACCAAUCCAAAUCAAAGAAAAUGUGGUCACCUCUGGAUCCCAGGGUACCUCAUUUAAGAGAUCAGUCAGGUGAUUAGAUUUGAGGCUCAAUUUCAAAUUCCUGGGAGAAAGAGCUGUUGCUUGGACUAGUUUUAGCCAGAUGUUUACCCCUGAACCAAUCAACAUCACUGUGGGCACAGGGUCACGUGUAAAUAUGGCUGUAGCCACUGUAAGGCUGUGAAUAUGGUGUGAUAUCAAGUAGGGAGGAAAAGCUGGAGUAGGGAGUUGGGCAGACCAAACAAGGGGUGCCCACUCCUUGAGAAUAAAUAAGAGGGAAAGGAUAAAGAGAAGGGGUCUGAGGACAGAACACCGUCUAAUCCAAUGCUGUCCUGCUCUUUAUCUAAACCAACGCUAUCCAGUAGAACCUUCUGCAAUGAUGGAGGUGUUUUAUAUCUCUGCUGUUCAGUGUAAUAACCAUCAGCCACAAGUGGCAGUUCAGCCCUUGACAAUGGAUGCAACCGAGCAACUGAAUUUUUUGCUUCAUUUUAUUUUAAUUUAAAUUUGAAAAACUGUGUAGUUAAUGACUACGUAUUGGACAGGUCAGACCACACUGCCAGUCUGUUUGGGAAGAAAGCAUAUUGCAUGUGCUUUGGAGUCAGUCAGAUCUAGGUUCAAGUCUCAACACUACUUCUUAAAAAUUGAACAGAUUCCUUAACCCCUCUGAGCUAUAGAAGUGAAAGAUGCAAAGGAUAGUGAAUAAUACGUGAUACCAAAAAGUGAGAAAGGGGCAAAAGAUUGCAAAGGGACAAAAAGUCAGCUGGGUUUAACAAUGAGGAGAUGGAGUGAAUUAAGACAGAAGUAUUCAAAGUGUGAUGGGGCUAGAGCCAGACCAGCAAUUUUCCUGUCUUCUGGACAUCUGUUAAGUAUCUUUCCUCUGGAAGGGGAUCCCAGGAAGGGAAAGACAGGGAACAAAAUAAUUUAAUUUUAAUCCUGAUGGCCAUGAGGGGAGCUGAGAACCCAAAGGAAUGUCCUGAAGGUAGGGCUCCAAGAUCAAGCCAGAAAAACACAGUCAGAAACAGUCAGCCAAGGGUCUGGAGCCAAAGAUAGGGUUGCAUAGACCAAGAAACUAGAAGGAAAGAACAUCUCAUAAAAUAUCCUCAUGACAUAGCACUUACUGUGUAACUAGAUUGUGAACCCUUCAGGGUUCAGAGCCAAGUUCAUCUUGGUAUUCCCAACACCUAGUAAGUUCCAGACACAAUAAUAGGUGUUUAAUUAACAUCUGUUAGAAUGAAUGCAAGUAAGCCAGUCACUCCUUGGUGCAUGGUAUUCACUCUAAAAAUGUUAAAUGAUCAAAAAGAGAAAUCUCUGCAAUGAGAAGGUGCCAGGGAAACCUUCAUGGCAGGGAAACCCUGUUUGUAUGGUCCCUAGCAUAUCACCUGGCACAGAGGGAUUGCUCAACAAGUGGUCACAAGGGUAAUGAUUAUUAGUGGGGGAGUGAGGUUUUGCAUAAUGAUCAGGGAAAGCUUUGAUGAUAAGAGGAGCUAAGUGAGUGAAGUCGCUCAGUUGUGUCCAACUCUUUGUGACCCC